GGUUUUAUAGUCAAAUUUAUGAUAUUAGACUGCAAUUCUAAAGUUACUUAUAAGAGUUAAGACCU
rnacentral:tRNA from 1 species